rnacentral:rRNA from 1 species
UACGUAGGGGGCGAGCGUUAAUCGGAAUUACUGGGCGUAAAGCGUGCGCAGGCGGCUCUUCAAGUCAGAUGUGAAAGCCCCGGGCUUAACCUGGGAAUGGCGUUUGAAACUGGAGGGCUGGAGUGUGGCAGAGGGAGGUGGAAUUCCACGUGUAGCAGUGAAAUGCGUAGAGAUGUGGAGGAACACCGAUGGCGAAGGCAGCCUCCUGGGCCAACACUGACGCUCAUGCACGAAAGCGUGGGGAGCAAACAGG